rnacentral:rRNA from 1 species
AACGAACGCUGGCGGCAUGCCUAACACAUGCAAGUCGAACGAAGGCUUCGGCCUUAGUGGCGCACGGGUGCGUAACGCGUGGGAAUCUGCCCUUUGGUUCGGAAUAACAGCUGGAAACGGCUGCUAAUACCGGAUGAUGACGAAAGUCCAAAGAUUUAUCGCCAGAGGAUGAGCCCGCGUUGGAUUAGGUAGUUGGUGGGGUAAAGGCCUACCAAGCCGACGAUCCAUAGCUGGUCUGAGAGGAUGAUCAGCCACACUGGGACUGAGACACGGCCCAGACUCCUACGGGAGGCAGCAGUGGGGAAUAUUGGACAAUGGGCGCAAGCCUGAUCCAGCAAGGCCGCGUGAGUGAUGAAGGCCCUAGGGUUGUAAAGCUCUUUUACCCGGGAAGAUAAUGACUGUACCGGGAGAAUAAGCCCCGGCUAACUCCGUG